rnacentral:lncRNA from 1 species
AAGAAGGCUACAUGAGCUGAUGGUAUUCCAGCAAAAAUAGUAAAAAAUUGUAAAUCUUAUAUUGCACCACAGCUGACAACUCUUGUAAAUUUGUCAAUUGAAAAUAACUGUUUCCCUGAUAAACUUAAAGAAGCCUAAGUGACCCCCCUUCAUAAAAAGAGUGACCCAUUAUUAAAAACAAAUUAUAGACCAGUUAGUGUCUUACCCAUAUUUUCGAAAAUCUUUGAAAAAAUAUAUGAAAUUCAAUUAACUGAUUAUUUUGAUAAAAUAUUUAAUCCUUUUUUUGUGUGCAUUUAGACGUGGACAUGGAUGUCAGACC